CUACGGGGGGCACCAGUGAGGAAUAUUGCACAAUGGGGGGAACCCUGAUGCAGCAACGCCGCGUGGAGGAUGACGCAUUUCGGUGUGUAAACUCCUUUUAUAUGUCAAGAAAAUGACGGUAGCAUAUGCAUAAGCACCGGCUAACUCCGUGCCAGCAGCCGCGGUAAUACGGAGGGUGCAAGCGUUACUCGGAAUCACUGGGCGUAAAGGACGCGUAGGCGGGUUGGAAAGUCAGGUGUGAAAUCCUACAGCUUAACUGUAGAACUGCACUUGAAACUUCUAAUCUAGAGUAUGGGAGGGGGAGAUGGAAUUAGUGGUGUAGGGGGAAAAUCCGUAGAUAUCACUAGGAAUACCUAAAGCGAAGGCGAUCUCCUGGAGCAUUACUGACGCUAAGGCGUGAAAGCGUGGGGAGCAAACAGGAUUAGAUACCCCCGUAGUC
rnacentral:rRNA from 1 species